rnacentral:lncRNA from 1 species
UCAUUUCUUUCACAGAAUUCCAAAUGAACCAAUUUUCAGGAUCAACACUAUGAUGAUCAAAGCUGUUAAAAGUCAUGAUAUCCCAACCAUUUUGGUGUAUGUUGUAUGUGUUACAUGUUCUCAUGUGCAUAAAAGGAAAUUAUGUGCUAUAGCAAUAUCUGUGUUUGACCCGUUAGUGGACUACACUGGGUAUGUUGUUGAUGAUGUAACAAUAUCUGUGUAUGUUCUUGGAUGUUAAAUGAUGUUUGGAACCUGUUAAACAGAAUUCAGAUUCGUUUCAAGUAGUUCAACCUACGUCCGAGUAGAAAAAGAGAACACUUAAAUAUCUCUGGUGCAAUGGGAAGGAAAAUUGUGAUUCACGAGAUA